CCACAAGUACCUCGUCUUCAUCUAAAACAUUAGUAGAAGAAGAAGAAGAAGACCCGGUUUUCAACAAUUCAGAUUCACCUUGUUUCUGAUGUUGUGAAUCAGAUAACAAAUCAGCAGAAUCAGUAACGUUCUUGAGCUGAGUGAUCUCCACAGGUGAUGAUGAGUCACACAUUGUAUUAGCUAAGCUAAGAGUCAUUGCAACAGCAGGAGUCAUCUCUUCCAUGAGCUCCCCAACAAAAUCAGAAAUCUCCCCACACCACACCACACCACACCACA